UCCUAGUGGCGAACGGGUGAGUAACGCGUGAGUAACCUGCCUCAUACAACGGGAUACCCGAGGGAAACUUCGGUUAAUACGGUAUAAGACCACACUACCGCAUGGUAGAGGGGUAAAAGGGGCAACCUGGUAUGAGAUGGACUCGCGUCGCAUUAGCUAGUUGGUGAGGUAACGGCCCACCAAGGCGACGAUGCGUAGCCGACCUGAGAGGGUGAUCGGCCACAUUGGGACUGAGAUACGGCCCAGACUCCUACGGGAGGCAGCAG
rnacentral:rRNA from 1 species